CCAAAUUUCCUGAAACAAAAUUGAAGUCUGCUUCAGUGACCUGACCUCAAUCUUUGUAUCUCUUUUCUCUUUGGCAUUCCGAAUAGCUCUAGCUCAGCUCAGCUCAGCCUAGCUCAGCUUCUAAUUGUUAUUGGGUUUUACAAAAUUGUGCAGUACUUUGUUCCUUCAAAUUGUUCGAAGAAGUCCAAAAAAUGCAUAAGGGAAGAAACAAAGGGAGACCCUCUACGAGACAAAUGGAUAGGAAGGACCAAAACAUGGACACUGAUAACCAAGAAAUUGCCACCGAGAUCCAAAAAAUGGACAUGAGGAAGAUUUUGAAACAGAUUGAGCUUUUGGGUUCUUCUCAUAUGACAUGGAAGCAAAGGAAGGAGUUGGAGAAUAGGAAAGUGAUUUCUCUAGGUGCGAAGUUCGUUCACUAAUGGAGCGGUUUGUGUAUUGCAUAGUUUUA